rfam:Schistosoma haematobium scaffold454_50, whole genome shotgun sequence.
AUCUAGCUGACGAGUCUCAAACAAGAUGAAACGCGCUAUCUAGAU